GGACGAACGCUGGCGGCGUGCUUAACACAUGCAAGUCGAGCGGAAAGGCCCUUCGGGGUACUCGAGCGGCGAACGGGUGAGUAACACGUGAGUAACCUGCCCCAGACUUUGGGAUAACCCUCGGAAACGGGGGCUAAUACCGGAUACGACCUUUUCUCGCAUGGGAUGAGGGUGGAAAGUUUUUCGGUUUGGGAUGGGCUCGCGGCCUAUCAGCUUGUUGGUGGGUGAUGGCCUACCAAGGCGACGACGGGGUAGCCGGCCUGGAGAGGGGCGACCGGCCACACUGGGACUGAGACACGGCCCAGACUCCUACGGGAGGCAGCAGUGGGGAAUCUUGCGGCAAUGGGC
rnacentral:rRNA from 1 species